CCCGCACAAGCGGUGGAGCAUGUGGUUUAAUUUGAAGCAACGCGAAGAACCUUACCAGGUCUUGACAUCUCCUGACAAUCCUAGAGAUAGGACGUUCCCCUUUGGGGGACAGGAUGACAGGUGGUGCAUGGUUGUCGUCAGCUCGUGUCGUGAGAUGUUGGGUUAAGUCCCGCAACGAGCGCAACCCUUGAUCUUAGUUGCCAGCAUUUAGUUGGGCACUUUAAGGUGACUGCCGGUGACAAACCGGAGGAAGGUGGGGAUGACGUCAAAUCAUCAUGCCCCUUAUGACCUGGGCUACACACGUGGUACAAUGGAUGGUACAAAGGGCAGCAAAACCGCGAGGUCGAGCCAAUCCCAUAAAACCAUUUUCAGUUCGGAUUGUAGGUUGCAACUUGCCUACAUGAAGCUGGAAUCGCUAGUAAUCGCGGAUCAGCAUGCCGCGGUGAAUACGUUCCCGGGCCUUGUACACACCGCCCGUCACACCACGAGAGUUUGUAACACCCGAAGUCGGUGGGGUAACCUUUUAGGAGCCAGCCGCCUAAGGUGGGAUAGAUGAU
rnacentral:rRNA from 1 species